rnacentral:rRNA from 1 species
CCUACGGGAGGCAGCAGUGGGGGAUAUUGCACAAUGGGGGGAACCCUGAUGCAGCGACGCCGCGUGGGUGAAGAAGCGCCUCGGCGCGUAAAGCCCUGUCAGCAGGGAAGAAAAUGACGGUACCUGAAGAAGAAGCCCCGGCUAACUACGUGCCAGCAGCCGCGGUAAUACGUAGGGGGCACGCGUUAUCCGGAUUUACUGGGUGGAAAGGGGGCGCAGACGGCGAUGCAAGCCAGGAGUGAACGCCCGGGGCCCAACCCCGGGACUGCUCUUGGAACUGCGUGGCUGGAGUGCAGGAGGGGCAGGCGGAAUUCCUGGUGUAGCGGUGAAAUGCGUAGAUAUCAGGAGGAACACCGGUGGCGAAGGCGGCCUGCUGGACUGCAACUGACGUUGAGGCCCGAAAGCGUGGGGAGCAAACAGGAUUAGAUACCCCUGUAGUC